rnacentral:rRNA from 1 species
AGUGAACGCUGGCGGUAGGCCUAACACAUGCAAGUCGAACGGCAGCACAGUAAGAGCUUGCUCUUACGGGUGGCGAGUGGCGGACGGGUGAGGAAUACAUCGGAAUCUACUUUUUCGUGGGGGAUAACGUAGGGAAACUUACGCUAAUACCGCAUACGACCUACGGGUGAAAGCAGGGGAUCUUCGGACCUUGCGCGAUUGAAUGAGCCGAUGUCGGAUUAGCUAGUUGGCGGGGUAAAGGCCCACCAAGGCGACGAUCCGCAGCUGGUCUGAGAGGAUGAUCAGCCACACUGGAACUGAGACACGGUCCAGACUCCUACGGGAGGCAGCAGUGGGGAAUAUUGGACAAUGGGCGCAAGCCUGAUCCAGCCAUACCGCGUGGGUGAAGAAGGCCUUCGGGUUGUAAAGCCCUUUUGUUGGGAAAGAAAAGCAGCAGGUUAAUACCCCGCUGUUCUGACGGUACCCAAAGAAUAAGCACCGGCUAACUUCGU